GCUAUUAGAGAGGAUUGAUUUUAUGGCCAAGUGCUUCAUAUUUAAUGACUCUAACGACCGAUACCAGUCUACGUUGAAACUAGUUAUAGAUUCAGUUAUCGAUUGAACGAUUACUCAUAGUGAUGCGGUGAAUUGCAGUACUUUCUGUUUCAACAUACGGCGUUACGAGGAUAACAGUGUGAGAGGGAAAUAGAUUUAACCGAAUAAACAUUAGCUGCAGUAGUUUGAAAGUUCACGGCGGAAAGCAUAUCUUAUAGGUUCUGUUCCUCAUUCCGAGUCAUAGACAUUGUAUGGAUGUUCUUCAGAAAAACGUCUUUUAGUUUUUCAUAAACACAAAACUUACCUUCUGUAAAAUAUUACUCAUCAAAAUACAUUGCCAUACUAACAGUCACUGUCAAUACUUCUUCAAUUAUCGUUAUAUCGGCUUGGAAAGGAUUAGUUAUAAAGUCAAAGAAAAUAUUUUAGUUUACAUAAGUUGAGUAGUAAAAUGGGACAAACAAAUUCAUCACUUGACUUUAGAAAGAAAAUUUUCUGCGAAAUCCAUGUUUCAAAAGAAGCAUCUGCUUUCUGCUUCACACACAAAACUCUUAUAUGUAUGUCUUGCAUAGCGGAAAAGGUGCACUUUAAUUUGGAUUGUAAAGUUCAAGAAAUGACCGGAAUGAAUUAUCAAAUGAAAGAAUGCUUUGGCAUGAUGCAAGAAAUCGCUAAGACUAAAAAGACGAUGACAGUGAAUCAGAGAGAAAGAAAGAUGAAAGAAGAAAUUGAAGCUGCAUACACAAAAGCACUGGACAAUCUAGAGAAACUAAGACUGGCACAUUAUGAAGUAGCAAGUGAGGAAAUUGCAAACAUGAAAAAACGUGAAGAUGAAACAUUUAAUAAGCUUUAUAAAGCAAUUGAUUACUUCAGUGUUGGCAAAGAAAAAGAAGCGGAAAGCUUGAAGAAGGAGAUAUUGAUGGAACAUUUCGGUUGUGAAUUAGUUUUUCAAAAAGUAAAACCAGCCUUUACUGAGCUAGAGAGGUCUCUGAAAAAUGUGAAAGAAAUGCGUACCAGAUACAGGGAAAGCAUCUCCCACGGCAACCAGGUGGUGGAUUCUGAUUUUGUUUAUGAAUAGAAACGACAGUAGGUUAACGAAGAUAUUUGUUCUAUGGCAGCUAGCCUUGCUCUAGCAACGUAAAUAUAUAUGUAAAUAUAAGUAGACAAUGAAAUACCUGCACAUUUCAGCACAAUAAAAAACUUUUUUGUGGGGGAAAAGUAUCUACUGUCUAGAUUUGUACAGGCCACUAAAUAUUGACACAAAAUAUUAGAUCUGAGACAGUUUUGACAUCUCAAAAUGGUGUCAAUUAUAUAAAUAAAUAUGUUUAACUUGAUGCAAGCUUUUUACGGUAUUAAGAUUUAUUUUUUCGAUAUCAUAAUUGAUACGCAGUGAAUUCCAUGCAUAUGCAUUUAUUUUUGCAACAAAACUUUUCAUAUGUGAUAGCAGACAUGUGUAGGAUUCUUCAAAUACCUUCGCGACACGUUAUCCUACAUAUAAUUAACAAAAACCGCACGGUAAUGUGAGCACAACACACAGUUUAGCAAAAGAAAAGUAUUACUUUGAGUAGUUAAAUGUAUUAAAUAUAAUCAAAAUUAUUUAUUACUGUAACAGUCUUAUUUGUACUAUCAUGCUUUAAAUAUAUAGAUAUGUAAAGAUAUUUCAAUUGUAGUUAUUCCUGUAAGAAAUGUAAACAAUAUAAUAAAGUUAUAAUAGUACAUGUAAAAUGUCAUGUGUCUGUUUUAUGAAAACAUGCUUAAAAAUGUCAAGAAGAAGACUAUCCGAUUAACAUUUAUAAAUAGACGAAAAGAGUAAGGACUGUUGAAUUAAUUUUUUGAUUUAAGUUAGAUGGUCUAAAGUGUUCUAACAGCCACGAAUGUAUUGAAUCAUUCUUGAAUUUUGAGAUUUUUCUCCAAAACUGCACAUAGUGCUUUAAUGACUGAGUGGUUGGGCUCGGCUGAAUGUAACUACCAAACAAAUAUUUCCUUCCCGCAAAUUUAGCUUUUAGUAUUGACAUAUUGCAGAUAAUUAAUUGAAAAUGAAAGUAAUUCAACACAAACAUGGCUGUACACGACAUUUUAUUGAUUUCGACUGUUGAAAAAACUUUGAAAAAAUGGAACUCUCAGAUCCAGAAGCAAAAAUUAUGUAGCGUUUCGAAUAGCUUUCGCUUUAGACAAUUUAAGGAGAAAAAAUGGGUAUAAAAAUCAUGGUAGCAAACUAUGGUGUAAAUUUUCACGAAUUAAUAUUUUCUAUAUUAGGCCUCAAUUAACCUUGUCCUUUGAUUAUAAAAUAACAUUUAUGUUAUGGAAAUACAAGAUUUGUUUAUUCAAAAGUUAAAAAGGAAGAUAUGAAUAAAUUAUAAUCUACAAGAUGUAGAGUAUUUUUGCGUAAUCACUUUUGUCUUUCAGAUAAUAUAUAAUAAAAUAAUACCAAAAGAAUAUAUUUCAUUGUCCCAUAUAUAUCUAAGUAAGAAACAUUAAAUAUUUCUUGAUAUCAACAUUUUUAUAACGAGAUGUUGCAGAUCGCCAACUCAAAUUCUGU